rnacentral:rRNA from 1 species
CGGGGGCAGUUCCCUGGAACGGGACGCCGCAGAGGGUGAGAGCCCCGUACCGCUCGGGGAUCCGCCGCCGCGCGAAGCGCCUUCGACGAGUCGAGUUGUUUGGGAAUGCAGCUCUAAGCGGGAGGUAAAUUUCUUCUAAGGCUAAAUAUCGGCCAGAGACCGAUAGCGCACAAGUAGAGUGAUCGAAAGAUGAAAAGCACUUUGGAAAGAGAGUCAAACAGCACGUGAAAUUGUUGAAAGGGAAGCUCUUGCGGCCAGACGUGCCGCGGCCGCUCAGCCGCCCCCCGGGGUGGUGUACUCGGCCGCGGCGGGCCAGCGUCGAUGCGGGCGGUCGGACAAAGGCCCGGGGAAGGUAGCCCCUCGCGGGGGGUGUUAUAGCCCCGGGUGCCAUACGGCCAGCCCGGAUCGAGGAUCGCGCACGCGAGGACGCUGGCGUAAUGGCCGCAAGCGACCCGUCUUGAAACACGGACCAAGGAGUCUAACAUCUGUGCGAGUGUGCGGGUGUUAAACCCGGACGCGUAAUGAAAGUGAACGGAGGUGGGACCCCCCCGGGGCGCACCAUCGACCGAUCCUGAUGUCCUCGGAUGGAUUUGAGUAAGAGCAUGGCUGUUGGGACCCGAAAGAUGGUGAACUAUGCGUGUUUAGGGUGAAGCCAGAGGAAACUCUGGUGGAGGCUCGCAGCGGUUCUGACGUGCAAAUCGAUCGUCAAAAAUGCGUAUAGGGGCGAAAGACCAAUCGAACCAUCUAGUAGCUGGUUCCCGCCGAAGUUUCCCUCAGGAUAGCAGUCACGUCCCCAGUUUGAUGAGGUAAAGCGAAUGAUUAGAGGCCUUGGGGUUGAAACAACCUUAACCUAUUCUCAAACUUUGAAUACGUCAGACGCCCUUGUUGCUUCGGUGAACGUGGGCCUUCGAAUGUACCGUGACUAGUGGGCCAUUUUUGGUAAGCAGAACUGGCGAUGCGGGAUGAACCGAACGCGAGGUUAAGGUGCCGGACUGCACGCUCAUCAGACACCACAAAAGGUGUUGGUUCAUCCAGACAGCCGGACGGUGGCCAUGGAAGUCGGAAUCCGCUAAGGAGUGUGUAACAACUCACCGGCCGAAUGAACCAGCCCUGAAAAUGGAUGGCGCUCAAGCGUGCGACCCAUACCUCGCCGCCGGGGCAGGACCGACGCCCCGGCGAGUAGGCGGGCGCGGGGGC